AUUGAACGCUGGCGGCAGGCCUAACACAUGCAAGUCGAGCGGAUGAAGGGAGCUUGCUCCUGGAUUCAGCGGCGGACGGGUGAGUAAUGCCUAGGAAUCGGCCUGGUAGUGGGGGAUAACGUCCGGAAACGGGCGCUAAUACCGCAUACGUCCUGAGGGAGAAAGUGGGGGAUCUUCGGACCUCACGCUAUCAGAUGAGCCUAGGUCGGAUUAGCUAGUUGGUGGGGUAAAGGCCUACCAAGGCGACGAUCCGUAACUGGUCUGAGAGGAUGAUCAGUCACACUGGAACUGGGACACCGGCCAGACUCCUACGGGAGGACGCAGUGGGGAAUUUUGGACGAUGGGCGAAAGCCUUAUCCAGCCAUGCCCGGUGUGUUAAGAAGGUCUUCGGAUUGGAAAGCACUUUAAGUUGGGAGGAAGGGCAGUAAGUUAAUAACUUGCUGUUUUGACGGUACCAACAGAAUAAGCACCGGCUAACUUCGUG
rnacentral:rRNA from 1 species